UUCAAGGACAGGAAGAAGUUGCAACUCUUGGGUUUCUGCCUGCCAUGGAGUUGUUAAAAGCGCAGGGGGCCACGCCCCCGCCCCCACCAAAACAAAACACCGGAUGGCAGCUGUAAUCAGAGCCCCAGGCACUCUGCAGUCCUGCUCCGUUUCCAAAGAAGCCAGCUAAGCAUCAUUUUCCUACAACAAGCCUAGCUGGCAAAAAAAACACCACCACCAAACAACUGAUGUGUCACCUUGGAAAUGAAGCAGCCUGAAGGCCACUUGGCAACGAGGCAGGGCAUUUAUAAAUGGAUGAAUGAAAUGAUAAAUAAAAUGGUACUCAUGCUC